rnacentral:rRNA from 1 species
GACGAACGCUGGCGGCGUGCUUAACACAUGCAAGUCGAGCGAUGAAGUUCCUUCGGGAAUGGAUUAGCGGCGGACGGGUGAGUAACACGUGGGUAACCUGCCUCAUAGAGGGGAAUAGCCUUUCGAAAGGAAGAUUAAUACCGCAUAAGAUUGUAGUAUCGCAUGAUACAGCAAUUAAAGGAGUAAUCCGCUAUGAGAUGGACCCGCGUCGCAUUAGCUAGUUGGUGCGUGAACGGCUCACCAAGGCGACGAUGGGUAGCCGACCUGAGAGGGUGAUCGGCCACAUUGGGACUGAGACACGGCCCAGACUCCUACGGGAGGCAGCAGUGGGGAAUAUUGCACAAUGGGGGAAACCCUGAUGCAGCAACGCCGCGUGAGUGAUGACGGUCUUCGGAUUGUAAAACUCUGUCUUCAGGGACGAUAAUGACGGUACCUGAGGAGGAAGCCACGGCUAACUACGUGCCAGCAGCCGCGGUAA